rnacentral:lncRNA from 1 species
GGGUGUUGCUAGGAGGGCUGCAAUGGGCCAAGGAUUUUUUUUGGCGCGUCACUUGAAGUGACAGAAGACGUAAGAGGUAGGGCUGUCGUAGGCUCGGCGUCUCUGGUGCUGCUGGCCCAGGCACCUCGGGUUCUGCCCGUAGCCUUAGGUGAGCGAAGGCCGAGCAACGGGGAGUAAUUGCUGGGCGCAGGUAGCUUGAGUCCAGCGCUCUCACCCCGACGCCCGCCCAAUGGCUCUGCUCCAGCCUGGGAUUCUGACCCGGGCCCGAGCCUGGGAUGGCUGGUGGGUGGGAGACCAGAGAGCAGCAGAAAUGUGCUUUCCAGCCCUAGUGCGGUUUGUCCCGGGUUAACGGAGGAGUGAGAUGAGAGUAUCACUCCUAACAGUCGAGCAGGCUAACAAAACAAUAACAAAUAAGCCAGGGAACCACUGGGCUAAUUACAUCGGGAGAAUGGCGACUGCUCUAAGGGUGAGAGACAAGAGAGAUCUCUUCAUAGUGAUGAAAACAAACAAACAAACAACAACAAUAAAACCAAAAAAGACAGCCCGGCAUCCCAGCCAGAACUCCUGGAGAUAAGUUCCGACUCCUCUCAGGGAGGUAAGUGAUGCCCCAGGUCUCACCCUGAAGAUGGCACACGGUGGAAUUCAUGCUAGCAGCGUGACACAGCCCAGGGGGUUGCUUUGGAACCUUUGUUCUUGGAAAGUUUUAUGUUCAGCUCAGGGUGAAAAGAGUUUUAUGUCUAUGUUCAUGUAAAAUUAACAAUUGAGCAGGGUGUACAUUGAGAAAUUAAUUUUCAGGAGCUAAAGAGACGGCUCACUGGUGCUGCUGCUCUUUCAGAGGACUGCUGUUGGCGUCGUGGCUAACUCUAGGGCAGUGUUUCCCAGCCUUCCUAAUGCUGCAGCCCUUUAAUACAGUCCCUCGUGCUGCGGUGAGGCUCAACCAUAGAAUUAUUUUGCUGCUACUUCAUAACUGUAAUUUUGCUACUGUUAUGAAUCAUAACAGGCAACCCAUGUGAAAGGGAUGGAGACCCACACAGGCUGAGAACCCGUGCUCUACAGCCUCUUAAUUCCAUCUCCAGGAAAAUCUGAUCUUCUGACCUCUGCACGUAUAUAUACUUACACACACACACACACACACACACACACACACGCAUAAUUAAAAACAAAAAUGACUCAAAAUGUGGUGGCACCCGCCUGCAAUCCAACACUGAGGUAAUUGAGGAAAGCGGCUCAGGAGCACCAUACCCUGUGCUGGGUGAUGUGAGCUUGUCUCCUGGAACUACAUUAAAGAUGCUGAAGUGGAUGGCCAGGUGGCGCGUCUGAUAGGAUCUUGAUUAUACCAGUCAUUGAGUGUAUGAACUAAUUUAACGUUCAGCCAGUUAACAGUUAUGCCAGUCAUUAAGUGUAUAAACUAAGUUAACUUUCAGCCAGUUAACAAUUACACCAGUCAUUAAGUGUGUAAACUCAUUUAACUUUCAGCCAGUUAACGAUUACACCAGUCAUUAAAAGCGUAAACUAGUUAAACUUUUAGCUCUCUGUUCAGCUACUAUCCAUUUUACAGGAGUGGAAGCUGCAGCACUGAAAGACGAAGUCGCCUACUCACACUGUACAGCCAGUUUCUGGCUUAGCAGAAGAAUGUCCUUCCUUCAGAGUCAGUCCAGAGGAGAGAGCGUUGUUGCUUAGCAACUGUUGGGCUGUUGGUGUUGUUUUGUGCCCUAGUGUUUGUGCCUGCGUGUUUUCCUGUGCAGCUGUAUACAUUGCUUUGCACCCGGAUGUGGGGGUCAGAGGUCAGGCGUCUUCCUCCAUUGUUCUACAUCUUAUUUAUUUUGAGACAGAGUCCCUAACUGAACCUGGAGCUGAUUAAUUCAGCUGAACUGGUUGUCCAGUGAAUGCCAGGUAUCCUCCUGUCUCCAUCUCCUCAGCCUGGGGCUUGUGGGUACAUGACUAUGCCUGGCUAAGGAAGUGACUCCUCAGACUUCUGUACACACUUUACUGACUGAGCCAUUUUCCCAGACUUGCUUGUGUUGAUUUUUAAAAUCUUGUGUCGCUCUAGGUUGCCACCCAAACUCUUGAUAACUGUGGAUUUCUUUCAUCUCCUCCUAAUUCCCUUAACAGGGCUGGGAAAGUCAUUUUAUGGUUUUGGUUUUUGGUUUUUUUAAACAGAUACAGACUGCCCUUUUCCAUGGGUGGUGAUAUAGGUUCUGGCCUCAUUUCCUUUGUCUCUAUCUUAGUGUCUUUCUCAAUUAUAUAUAUAUAAUCUAUUUUUCUUCAAAGACUUGUCUCCAAUUUUCAUAUUUUCAAUUUUUUUAAAUCAUCUUAGUAUGUACAUUCUUAUUUGUAAACUUUUUCUAAUUUCCCUUCACAGGUUUGUCUCCACUUUUCAUUUUUCUCUCUUUCUUGUAUCUCUAGCAUCUUAGUAUCAUUGUAUCUACAGCAUCUUAGUAUCAUUGUAUCUACAGCAUCUUCAUUCUCCCCCCCCCCCCCCCCCCCCCGCUUCAAGACAGGGUUUCUCUGUGUAGCUCUGGCUGUCCUGGAACUCACUCUAUAGACCAGGCUGGCCUCGAACUCAGAAAUUCACCUGCCUCUGCCUCCCAAGUGCUGCUGGGAUUAAAGGCAUGCACCACCACGCCCAGCUCAUCCUCAUUUUGAUGUAGAAAAUUUGUCUCCAGUUUUCAUUUUUUUCUUGUUUUCUUGUCUCUCUAAAGCCGUUUUCUUUAAGAAGGCAUAAGAAGCCAUCUUGGCUAUCAGGAUUAAAAUAAGGAUUACCAACGUGACAGUAAUCAUAAGGUAAUGUGUCAGUUCCAAUUAGGUCUUUAACUCUCCCCGCUUUGUUUCUUUCCUUAAACCCUGGUGUUAUGCAGGAUCCGAAAGUUCUGUGUCACUGUGCCCCCAACUUUACACGGAUUAUUUCUUUAAAUUUAUUUAAUUCUCUAAGGACUUUAUUUUACCAAUUUAAACUAUUUGUUUUUCCUAUGAUUAUGUAUACCCAGAUACUCUCUCUUACACUGUUUUUAAAUUCAAUAUUGUACCAGUUCAGAAGUUUUAGACUUUUUAGUCCCACUGCAGCUCUGGGGAAACCUGCAGGCUCCUCAAACCAGCACGUGUCUAUGGUGGCUAACUCCAUCCCCAUAGCUCUGUCUAACAGGCUGGUGGGCUCGUGGUUCCACCCACUUUGGGGCUGUCCCUCUCUGUGAGUGGUUAUAGGCUUUUCCUGAAUGGACCCAAGUUGGGCUGUCUAGCUCUCUUAAGUGUACUUUUUGGCCUUCCUCUGGAACCAUAUCACCAUUUAGAGAAGCCACAGCUACUGUACCUGUGGGCUCUAGUGCAAGAGAGACCGAGAGGCAGCUCUAGCACCCACCAGCUGCCUUAGCUCACAGGCCUCCUCUUGGUCUCUCUCAGUGUUUUUAGCUUCUCACCCAACUAGGAAACUGCUCUGGGAAGUGCUUCUUUCCUGCCUUUCACCUGGGAUUUAUUUCCUCAGGCUCUAAGCUUGGAUUCUAAGAGCCCCUCAUUGGGCGCCAUUUUUAAACCAUGGGCUUAUCCACAUGCUCCCAAGGUCCUGAAAUAAUUUAAUUGAAUUAUUUAAGAAUAAAUGCCUAGGCUAAAAGCUCUGGCUUGUUUCUGAUAGCUUGUAACUCAGAUAACCAUUUGUUUUAUUCUAAGUUCUGUCAUGUGGCUAGUUUCCUCUCCUCAGGUUCAUGCAACCUUAACCAUGAACACUCAGGGUGAAUCUCUUCCCAUGCCUGACUCUACCCCAGAACUCUCUCUCCCUGCUGGAACUCCAACCUCCUCUUCCCUGCCUAACCUAACAAGUCAACAGCUUUUUUAUUGGCAGGCGAUGCUUCCAUACCAUGCACAAGAGAUUCUCUGUACAGUUAUAUGAAUGUUUAUAACCACAGGACAAAUAAUCCCAGUAUAUUCUGUAAAUAUGGGGAAUGGAGGAGGGGCUUACAUAGACAUGUUAAAGGAGUAAGGGGACCCAACUACCAAAUGAAAUGGCAACUUACUUCAUUCUUGGAAGACUGUCUGAAUCAGAGCUCUACUGUCUACCUACUAAUCCUGGAAGUGUUAGGUCAGAAUCAAACGACCAGCACUGGCAAUUGUUUCUGAAGGCUCUGGAGCAGCCUUUGUCCCAAGCCUCCUCGUGCCUGAGGUGCAGAUGGGCCUGAGCUCUCACUCCUAUUGGAGGAAGAAGCUGUCUAACUAUGGUCCUCGCUUGAAGUGUCCUAUCGCGAUGUAGCUUCUUUGGAAGUGUCUAACUCACACUUUAAGGCUACGAGAUACAAGGCAUUAUAUAUUAAUAAAGGCUCAAUACAACAAUUAUAAACCUCAUGUUUAAAGUCAAAGACUGUGCCAUUUGGAUUAUAUGUUAUUGUGCCUAUUUUUCCCAUUAAAAGUUAAAAUAACCAUAUACAUACCUAUGUAGC